AACGAACGCUGGCGGCAGGCCUAACACAUGCAAGUCGAGCGCGCCCUUCGGGGUGAGCGGCGGACGGGUGAGUAACGCGUGGGAACGUGCCCUUUUCUACGGAAUAGCCUCGGGAAACUGAGAGUAAUACCGUAUACGCCCUUUGGGGGAAAGAUUUAUCGGAAAAGGAUCGGCCCGCGUUGGAUUAGGUAGUUGGUGGGGUAAUGGCCUACCAAGCCGACGAUCCAUAGCUGGUUUGAGAGGAUGAUCAGCCACACUGGGACUGAGACACGGCCCAGACUCCUACGGGAGGCAGCAGUGGGGAAUCUUAGACAAUGGGGGCAACCCUGAUCUAGCCAUGCCGCGUGAGUGAUGAAGGCCUUAGGGUUGUAAAGCUCUUUCAGCUGGGAAGAUAAUGACGGUACCAGCAGAAGAAGCCCCGGCUAACUCCGUG
rnacentral:rRNA from 1 species